UAAUUAUGGGUCAUUGAGUUUGUCUGUUCUCGAACUUAGAAGAGCUAGUUAAUUAUUAAUUUUAUUGUGGAAUAAAUAUUUAUAAUGGUUAAUUGGUAAUGAAAUGUUAUUCGUUUCUAAAUAUAUCUAGUUUUUUAAGAAAUAGAUUUAAUCUAUCCAAUUUUAUUUAAUUUAUUUAUUUUUUAAUAAUUUAUAUGGGUUGGUAAAUGUCUUGAGGGAUGAGCUUUAAGAUAAAAUUUUAUAAUUUAUUUAUUUUUACAUUAGGAAUAGGAUUAGAAUUUUUCAUUUUUAGGAGGAUGUUAUAGUCAAUUUUGGUUUAUUUAAUAUUUUUAUUUGAUUUAAUUUUUUUAUUGAAAUGUAAUUUUGAAUUUUUGGUAAUUAGUAAUAAUGAUAGAAUUAGUAUAUAAAAUUGUAUUUUUAUAGUAAUUAUUUUAGGUUAGUAAAAGGAACUCGGCAAGGAAUUUUUCACCUGUUUAUUAAAAACAUGGCCUUUUGAUUAUUAUUUAAGGUCUGGCCUGCCCACUGAGGUUUUAAAUGGCCGCGGUAUUCU
rnacentral:rRNA from 1 species